rnacentral:rRNA from 1 species
GACGAACGCUGGCGGCGUGCUUAACACAUGCAAGUCGAACGAAGUGGCGAACGGGUGAGUAAUACGUGAGUAACCUGCCCUCUUCUUUGGGAUAAGCUUUGGAAACGGGGUCUAAUACCGAAUAAAGGGGGAUGGGCUCGCGGCCUAUCAGCGUGUUGGUGGGGUGAUGGUCUACCAAGGCGGUGACGGGUAGCCGGCCUGAGAGGGUGACCGGCCACAGUGGGACGGGGAAACGGCCCAGACGCGUGCGGGAGGGGGCAGUGGGGGAUAUGGCACAAUGAGUGAAAGCCGGAUGCAGCGACGGCGAGUGGGAGAUGAAGGCUUUCGGGUUGUAAACCUCUUUCGAUAUCGAGCGGGUAGGUGGAGAAGAAGCGCCGGCUAACUACGUGCCAGCAGCCGCGGUAAUAC